GACAGAGGGUGCAAACGUUGUUCGGAUUUACUGGGCGUAAAGCGUGUGUAGGCUGCUCCGAUAGUCGGAUGUGAAAGCCCUGGGCUCAACCUAGGAAGUGCAUUCGAUACUCCGGAGCUUGAGUCCUGGAGAGGAAGGCGGAAUUCUCGGUGUAGAGGUGAAAUUCGUAGAUAUCGAGAGGAACACCGGUGGCGAAGGCGGCCUUCUGGACAGUGACUGACGCUGAGACACGAAAGCGUGGGGAGCAAACAGG
rnacentral:rRNA from 1 species